UUCUUCUUCUUCUUCUUCUUCCGAAUACGGGAGUAGACUCCUAGGUAGGAGUGUAAAACUUCCCGGAACUUGUGUGCUAUGUACAUAUGGACUUAAUUUAAAAAUAAUAUGACAAAGAAAAAUCAUUAACAAUAACAUAUAUACAUUAUGUACAGUGGCUUUGUAGUUUAAUAAGUUGUUGUGGAUCCUUCAAGUGUUAGAGUGGAUAUGCCACUUUUGAAGGAUUCCAGGGUGUCAGACAUACCUAUUGCUUCAGGUAGUGAGUUCCAGUCCGAAAUAGUGCGAGGAUAAAAUGAAAAUUUAUAGAAAUCUUUAUUUGUUGAUAUUUGCCUAAAUUUAUGUUUCCCCCUAGUACGUCUAUCAGAUAUUGUUAAAUUGUCCUUAGGAACUUCAACUAACCCCCAAUUUAUUUUAUACAGCAUAGUUAAUCUAGCUUUUUUUCCUUCUUAUUUCUAAAUUUUCCCAUUCCAAAGAUUUAAUUAAAUUUGAAACUGCUCCAGGUGAUCUGUCUUUAUAAUCAUUGAAGACAAACCUGGCUGCCUUACGCUGUACCUGCUCAACCUGAGUGAUGUGUUGUUUUUUGUACGGAUCCCAGACAGGGGAAGAGUAUUCGACGACUGGACGGACAAGUGAUGUGUACGUAAGGUUUUUAACCUUACGUGUGCAGUUUUUCAAGUUCCUACGAAGAAAACCUAAGGUUUUAUUUGCCUUACAAGUAAUAUUGUUUAUAUGUGUUCCCCAAUCAAGAUCAUGGCUUAUAGUUACGCCUAAAUAUUUACUGUCUUUUACUGCUUCUAAAACAUGAUUGUGCAAUAUAUAAUCAAAAGAGGAAGGUUUACUUUUUUUUAGAAAUAUGAAUUACAUAACACUUCUCAGGAUUAAAAUUCAUUUGCCAG
rnacentral:lncRNA from 1 species